rnacentral:rRNA from 1 species
AUGGUCACAUCAUUUUGUAGUGAGAGUGUUUACGAUGAAAAAGGGAACCUUCUAGAAGAAAAGCCCGCCGAUUCCUUGGAUGCAGCUGCGAGGAAGAAGAUUUCAACAGUGCGAAACAAGUUGGAAGAUCUAAUUCAAAGAGCCAAGCAAUCAGAUGAAGGCAUGGACUUUUUGGUAGCAAGUGUUCUGAGCAUUGAGGAGCCUCUGAACCAAAUGGUUCCUAAUGCAGUCAAGCACACUAGGCAAGAGGAAUACGAGGCGUUUAUUGGUUGCAACAUUCCUACUCAAGUUGACAUACACCCGCCAAAUGAUGCUCAUUUGGUAGGGAGAUGUAAAAGAAUAAAAAGAGGAAAGGAAAUGAACGGGGAAAAACAAAAGGAGAAGAACAAAGAAGCCAAGGCCAAGGUUGCAUGCUUGUGCAAGACAUGCAACCAAAUAGGUUUUCAUGGUAGUCGCAAUUGUCCAACCAAAAAAGGUCAAGGAAAAGAAGCCAUGAAUGUGCAACCCAUUCUUCCAAAUGGUGCAGCAUCAUAG